rnacentral:rRNA from 1 species
AGGAUUCCCCUAGUAACUGCGAGUGAAGCGGGAUGAGCUCAAAUUUGAAAUCUGGCAGUGUAACAGCUGUCCGAGUUGUAAUUUAGAGAAGUGUUUUCUGUGCCAGACCGUGUACAAGUCUCCUGGAAUGGGGCGUCAUAGAGGGUGAGAAUCCCGUCUUUGACACGGCUCUCUACUGGUGCUAUGUGAUACACUCUCAAAGAGUCGAGUUGUUUGGGAAUGCAGCUCAAAAUGGGUGGUGAACUCCAUCUAAAGCUAAAUAUUGGCGAGAGACCGAUAGCGAACAAGUACCGUGAGGGAAAGAUGAAAAGCACUUUGGAAAGAGAGUGAAACAGUACGUGAAAUUGCUGAAAGGGAAACGAUUGAAGUCAGUCACAUUUGCUAGAAUUCAACCCUUUGCUGGGUGUAUUUUCUUAGUUGAAUGGGUCAGCAUCACUUUUGGCCAUUGGAAAAGGGCGGGAGGAAUGUGGCACUCUUUUAUUAGGGUGUGUUAUAGCCUCUCUUUGUCAUAUACAGUGGGUUCAGGAGUGAGGAAUGCCUUUGUUGUAGGAUGCUGGCAUAAUGGCUUUAAACGACCCGUCUU